AGCGUAGGCGGACUUUUAAGUGGGAUGUGAAAUACUCGGGCUCAACCUGAGCGCUGCAUUCCAAACUGGAAGUCUAGAGUGCAGGAGGGGAAAGUGGAAUUCCUAGUGUAGCGGUGAAAUGCGUAGAUAUUAGGAAGAACACCGGUGGCGAAGGCGACUUUCUGGACUGUAACUGACGCUGAGGCUCGAAAGCGUGGGGAGCGAACA
rnacentral:rRNA from 1 species